AUUCCAGAGGCCAUCUAUUCUCUGAGUAGCAUGAGUGAUGGUCCUCACAGCUAGACCGCUGGCUGCUUCUGCCGGCUGCCUUGGCGGUAGGUCUUUUAGGUCAAGUUCCACAGGAAGCAGACUGUGAGAUGUAUAUCUACAUACAGAAAGGACACUGGGGACUGUAGCUGGAACAGCACCUCUUGGGAGUCAGGAAGCAGGACUACACAGAAGCUGUUGAACUGUAAUGCCGAAGUUGCCUAGGAAACACUUCUUCUUAGAAAAGAUUCACAAACAGACCUGGAAUGAAUCCUUCUCGCUCUUCAUACACUGAGACAGGAUGAAAUCUAAGACCAUGGCAGGGAGAAGCCGCACGCGGAGUCGCACUGUCAGGACCCAGGAUCGAUCUUAAUCAGAUUGCAAGUUCUUCAGGCUUGGAACGAUAUCACUACAAUGAACAGCCAAGUAUAAAGGGUCCCCGGGGAAACUCCGACCGGCCUGCGCACUGGGAGAAUGGGGUGGAGCCACGGAAGUUCACGCGCUUUGCAGAGGGGAGGAGCCUGGCCUCUCCGGAUCCUGGAUAGUACCUGAGAUUCAAUCGCUGAGGCGGGAAAACCGGCUAGCAGGACUGUUGCUUUGCUGAGAGUCCCUGUUUCCCUUUUUUUCCUUUUGGCCCGAUAACUUCCAUUUUUCUCACCCUUCAAAGUCUCUGUGACCCUAAUCUCUCAUGGCCAUGUGACAAGGGCCCUAAAGAGAAAGUCCUACAACAAUAGCUUUCAUAUGAUAAUAUCAGUGAUAAGCUGUCGUUUACAAUGGACGCCUCUCAGGAAGGUGUCCCUCAAUAACUUGAACAUUUAAAAAAUUAAAAGAUUGAUUGUAGAGAGUCCACCUAUGAAAUGAGCACAUAUUAGGGCAGAGCGAGAAAAUCAACAUAAAGAAACAGAGCAGCUGGCAUGUCUACAAAACUCAACUUGAACAUAGUGGGGGAUAUUAGCAUAACCGAAGAAAACCGCUGUCAGCAGUUUGGGAGGGAAGGACUGGGUCUGAACACACAGACAAAUUAUAGCAAGAGCCACCAAGGUGGACGUUGCUUACCCAGUGCUCAUGGAGUGAGUCAGAGCCCAAAGUAUUCUUCCCCUGAGCAAAGCCAUCUCUAUUGUCAGAUGCGGAAGCCCCAGCCAGGGGCCCAGAGAUGCCUGGAUUCUUCUAAAUCCUGCAGGUCUUCGAGGCCUCUUGCAACUGUGAUUGUUUCCCGUGUAGGUGCUCAGGGGAGAGAAAGCUCGGUUAUUGAGACUUUCAUUCUCCUGGACUUUGUAGAGUGAUUUCUCAUUGAAUUUAAGAAAUAACACACAGUCAUUCAAUUAGCAAAGCUUUAGCAUGCAGCAACUCUUCGCCAGGCCCUGGGGAUGAAAGGACGAACAAGAUAACCCUGCCCUCAGGGAGCUUCCAGUCCAAAGAAAGCCAGGAGGCUCAACACAAUGUGAUGAUUUCUGUGACGUGGUUAAGUCCGGGGGGCCAUAAAAAGCGGGGCCUCUAACCAGGUCUGUGGGCAGGCGAGCACUGGAGAAAGUUUCUAUGAAGAGACAGGGUAUCUGGAUGAAAGCACACAGAAGAGUGUAAAUUAGUCAGGUAAAUGAAUGAGGAUGAGAGACCAGGGCUACGCGAUGAGGAAGAAGUGGCUUCCAGGUAGAAAACAGGUGUGAGCCAUUUUGUCCUCAAGAAUCUACAAACUGUUGUGUGUGGACGGGGCACAGUUUCAGCUCCAGGCUUCAGCAGAUGUGUCGUUGAGGCGGUGUAAGAUGAAAGUACAUAUGGCCGAGGCCGUGAGCUAAAUGCAGCAGUGGGCUGUGUCUGGAGAAGACAGCCUUUUGAAGUGUGUUGAAGAAUAGUUAAUGGCAAGAGAGAGUGCUUUGGACACAUUGCGCGGUUUUUAAAGAAGGCUAUAAAAUUGAUAUGCUGUAUAGUGGACAUUGUGUUUCACAUGUACACACCCAAUGCAUAAAUAGAAAAACACAGGAAAAGAUUAUAUCAAAAUACAGAGUGGCAGACUUAUA